UACGUAGGGUGCAAGCGUUAAUCGGAAUUACUGGGCAUAAAGCGUGCGCAGGCGGCUUUGCAAGACAGAUGUGAAAUCCCCGGGCUCAACCUGGGAACUGCAUUUGUGACUGCAUAGCUAGAGUACGGUAGAGGGGGAUGGAAUUCCGCGUGUAGCAGUGAAAUGCGUAGAUAUGCGGAGGAACACCGAUGGCGAAGGCAAUCCCCUGGACCUGUACUGACGCUCAUGCACGAAAGCGUGGGGAGCAAACAGG
rnacentral:rRNA from 1 species